rnacentral:lncRNA from 1 species
GUUGAACAGAUUUUGGAAGACCCUUUAAUUUUUGGCUACUGAAUUUACUUUAAAAUAGGAUGGAUGAGGAUUGGCUAGAACAAGUAAAAAAGAUUCUCUCUGUCUGAUAUUCCACUAUAAAAAAUAGUCCGUACCAAGUUGACACAAAGAAGGAUUUAAUUCAGAACAUGACACAAUCGUGUUUCAUACUUUACAUUUCUUUCCUUUUUCGUAGUUGUCAUGAACAGCUGGAUAGCAU